ACCCCGGCCCUUUUCAGGGCCACCCAUAUCUUUCCAGAAGAACUAU
rfam:Branchiostoma floridae genomic scaffold BRAFLscaffold_174, whole genome shotgun sequence.